rnacentral:tmRNA from 1 species
GGGGGCGAAAGGGCUCGACGGGGGUUACGAGGAUCAGGUUGCAUGUCGUGGCUCCGUCACCACGUAAAAAGGCGGAAACAAACACAAACGCCAAUAACGAACUGGCACUUGCUGCUUAAAUAACUAAGCAGCACGCUGCCCUGAAAUUGUCUGUGUUUCAGGUGUCAGUGUCAUAAAGCAGGCUGGCCUUAAGAGACUUCUCUUUAUCUUAAGGCAAGAUUUAAAGAGAUGGGAUGGUGAAAAGCCUUUCUGCUGGCGGUUCAUCAUCCGAGAUUGAAAAAGCAGGAUAAACAUGUAGAAGCCUGAGAGUAGUACUUUCGGACGCGGGUUCAAUUCCCGCCGCCUCCACCA